rnacentral:tRNA from 1 species
UCCCGUGUGGCUCAGUUGGUAGAGCAUGGUGUCUGUAACGCCAGGGUUGUGGGUUUGAUUCCCACGGGGGGGG